rnacentral:rRNA from 1 species
AUUGAACGCUGGCGGCAUGCCUUACACAUGCAAGUCGAACGGCAGCACGGGAGCAAUCCUGGUGGCGAGUGGCGAACGGGUGAGUAAUAUAUCGGAACGUGCCCAGUCGUGGGGGAUAACGUAGCGAAAGCUACGCUAAUACCGCAUACGAUCUAUGGAUGAAAGCGGGGGAUCGCAAGACAAUGCGCGAUUGGAGCGGCCGAUAUCAGAUUAGGUAGUUGGUGAGGUAAAGGCUCACCAAGCCGACGAUCUGUAGCUGGUCUGAGAGGACGACCAGCCACACUGGGACUGAGACACGGCCCAGACUCCUACGGGAGGCAGCAGUGGGGAAUUUUGGACAAUGGGCGCAAGCCUGAUCCAGCAAUGCCGCGUGCAGGAUGAAGGCCUUCGGGUUGUAAACUGCUUUUGUACGGAACGAAACGGCGAGCUCUAAUACAGUUUGCUAAUGACGGUACCGUAAGAAUAAGCACCGGCUAACUACGUGCCAGCCGCCGCCGUAA